rnacentral:rRNA from 1 species
UACGUAGGCAGCGAGCGUUGUUCGGAAUUACUGGGCGUAAAGGGCUCGUAGGCGGCCAACUAAGUCAUACGUGAAAUCCCUCAGCUUAACUGGGGAACUGCGUGUGAUACUGGAUGGCUUGGAUUUGGGAGAGGGAUGCGGAAUUCCAGGUGUAGCGGUGAAAUGCGUAGAUAUCUGGAGGAACACCGGUGGCGAAGGCGGCAUCCUGGACCAAUAUUGACGCUGAGGAGCGAAAGCCAGGGGAGCAAACGGG